rnacentral:misc_RNA from 1 species
UACAACAAGGGAGUUGGGGAAAAGAAGUGCAACACUUAUUUCUGAAGGCAAACUUGCCACUGCACCCUAUGAUACUGGUGAUUUGUCAAUCAACGACGAAUAAAAUGUGAUUACACUUGCAUUACCCAAAAUAAGGGUGAAAAUNUAAAGCAAGCUUCAAAUUUGUCUUCUGGAGUAUAGCCCAUGUGCUUAGAUCAAAUGCCAAUAGGGCUCCCAAUCUUUAUGAGCGCCUCACAUUCAGGUUACUGAAAAACAGGAUUCUUAG